rnacentral:rRNA from 1 species
CCUACGGGAGGCAGCAGUGAGGAAUAUUGGUCAAUGGGCGCGAGCCUGAACCAGCCAAGUAGCGUGAAGGAUGACUGCCCUACGGGUUGUAAACUUCUUUUAUAAGGGAGUAAAGUGAGGCACGUGUGCCUUUUUGUAUGUACUGUAUGAAUAAGGAUCGGCUAACUCCGUGCCAGCAGCCGCGGUAAUACGGAGGAUUCGAGCGUUAUCCGGAUUUAUUGGGUUUAAAGGGAGCGUAGAUGGGUUGUUAAGUCAGUGGUGAAAGUCUGCGGCUCAACCGUAAAAUUGCAAUUGAUACUGUCCGUCUUGAGUACAGUUGAGGUAGGCGGAAUUCGUGGUGUAGCGGUGAAAUGCUUAGAGAUCACGCAGAACUCCGAUUGCGAAGGCAGCUUACUAAACUGCCACUGACAUUGAUGCUCGAAAGCGUGGGGAUCAAACAGGAUUAGAUACCCGAGUAGUC